rnacentral:rRNA from 1 species
UACGUAGGGUGCGAGCGUUAAUCGGAAUUACUGGGCGUAAAGUGUGCGCAGGCGCAAAGCAAGUCGAGUGUGAAAGCCCCGGGCUUAACUUGGGAAUUGCGCUCGAAACUACUUUGCUGGAGUGUGGCAGAGGAAGGUGGAAUUCCACGUGUAGCGGUGAAAUGACGUAGAGAUGUGGAGGAACACCAAUGGCGAAGGCAGCCUUCUGGGCCAACACUCGAACGCUCAUGCACGAAAGCGUGGGGAGCAAACAGG